rnacentral:rRNA from 1 species
CCUACGGGUGGCAGCAGUGAGGAAUAUUGGUCAAUGGGCGCGAGCCUGAACCAGCCAAGUAGCGUGAAGGAUGACUGCCCUACGGGUUGUAAACUUCUUUUAUAAGGGAAUAAAGUGACUCACGUGUGGGUGUUUGAAAGUACCUUAUGAAUAAGGAUCGGCUAACUCCGUGCCAGCAGCCGCGGUAAUACGGAGGAUCCGAGCGUUAUCCGGAUUUAUUGGGUUUAAAGGGAGCGUAGAUGGGUUUUUAAGUCAGUCGUGAAAUUUUGGGGCUCAACCGUAAAACUGCCGUGGAAACUGGUGACCUUGAGUGGGCGUGAGGUAGGCGGAAUUCGUGGUGUAGCGGUGAAAUGCUUAGAUAUCACGAAGAACUCCGAUUGCGAAGGCAGCAUACCGCAGCGCGACUGACGCUGAUGCUCGAAAGCGUGGGUAUCGAACAGGAUUAGAUACCCCGGUAGUC